rnacentral:lncRNA from 1 species
GGUUUUGAACCCUUGGCCUCAAGCGAUCCUUCCUCUUCUGCCUCCCAAAGUGUUGGAAUUACAGAUGUGAGCCGCCCUGCCCAGACUGCAAAACUUUAUUUAAACUACUAAUUCAAAGAAUUGAGACACCUGCUCAAAGUCACAGAGAGGUUAAACAACUUGCCCGAGAUAAUGAAGUAAGUAAUGGAGAGUGGUUGAAAAUCUGGCCUGCCUGAUUCUAAAAGCUAUGUUUUCUCCACUGUUCAAUCAAGCAGCUUUAAACAAGUGAGUCCUUUCCUUCCAAUCUAAGUAUGGAGUACAAUGGAACAGUAGAGCUGCACUGAAGACGAGACUUCUUGGGCUACCAUUUUUCUGGAAGUUUCUACAAAGUCUAUUAUUUAUAAUUUGGACAGACUGUGACAAAUGCCAUUUUAAU